rnacentral:rRNA from 1 species
GUAGGUGGCAAGCGUUGUCCGGAAUUAUUGGGCGUAAAGCGCGCGCAGGCGGUUCUUUAAGUCUGAUGUGAAAGCCCACGGCUCAACCGUGGAGGGUCAUUGGAAACUGGAGAACUUGAGUACAGAAGAGGAAAGCGGAAUUCCACGUGUAGCGGUGAAAUGCGUAGAGAUGUGGAGGAACACCAGUGGCGGAGGCGGCUUUCUGGUCUGUAACUGACGCUGAGGCGCGAAAGCGUGGGGAGCAAACAGGAUUAGAUACCCUGGUAGUCCACGCCGUAAACGAUGAGUGCUAAGUGUUAGGGGGGUUUUCCGCCCCCCUUAGUGCUGCAGCUAACGCAUUAAGCACUCCGCCUGGGAGUACGGCCGCAAGGCUG